AACCAUAGAAACCUGCGGAGUACCUGCGGAAGGAUCAUUACCGAGUUUACAACUCCCAAACCCCUGUGAACAUACCUAUACGUUGCCUCGGCGGAUCAGCCCGCGCCCCGUAAAACGGGACGGCCCGCCCGAGGACCCUAAACUCUGUUUUUAGUGGAACUUCUGAGUAAAACAAACAAAUAAAUCAAAACUUUUAACAAUGGAUCU
rnacentral:misc_RNA from 1 species